rnacentral:rRNA from 1 species
GGGUAUAUGUCUUCGGAUAUAGAGACCGGCGCACGGGUGCGUAACGCGUAUGCAAUCCACCUUUUACAAGGGAAUAGCCCAGAGAAAUUUGGAUUAAUGCCCCAUAGUAUAAUUGAAUGGCAUCAUUUAAUUAUUAAAGUCACAACGGUAAAAGAUGAGCAUGCGUCCCAUUAGUUAGUUGGUAAGGUAACGGCUUACCAAGACAAUGAUGGGUAGGGGUCCUGAGAGGGAGAUCCCCCACACUGGUACUGAGACACGGACCAGACUCCUACGGGAGGCAGCAGUGAGGAAUAUUGGACAAUGGGCGCAAGCCUGAUCCAGCCAUGCCGCGUGCAGGAAGACGGUCCUAUGGAUUGUAAACUGCUUUUAUACAGGAAGAAACACUCCGACGUGUCGGAGCUUGACGGUACUGUAGGAAUAAGGAUCGGCUAACUCCGUGCCAGCAGCCGCGGUAAUACGGAGGAUCCAAGCGUUAUCCGGAAUCAUUGGGUUUAAAGGGUCCGUAGGCGGUUUAAUAAGUCAGUGGUGAAAUCUGGUCGCUCAACGAUCAAACGGCCAUUGAUACUGUUAGACUUGAAUUAUAAGGAAGUAACUAGAAUAUGUAGUGUAGCGGUGAAAUGCUUAGAUAUUACAUGGAAUACCAAUUGCGAAGGCAGGUUACUACUUAUGGAUUGACGCUGAUGGACGAAAGCGUGGGGAGCGAACAGGAUUAGAUACCCUGGUAGUCCACGCCGUAAACGAUGGAUACUAGCUGUUGGAAGCAAUUUCAGUGGCUAAGCGA